UACAAGAAAAUAGACUUUUAAUAGCAUAUUGUUAUAGCAUUUUUGUACUAAGUGCUGUAAUAACCAAUCAGAAUAAAAAAGAACGCUAUAAUAUUGUGGGCCGCCCAAAUUUUAUUUUGGUUAGACUUUCAAAUAGGAAAUAUUUUAACUACGGGGAGAACCCCAAUUGAUUUAUUUAAGUAUUACAAAUACAAACCCUUCAAUUUAUCUCUCAAUCGCCGACUCUCUCCCACCAGAUUUUUCCAACAUUUUGUUGUCGCCGUCUCGCACUCCAAGGUCGACCUGCCGACGCCAUCUAUUCGGUUAUUUCUCCUUUGCAAAUUAUCUUAAUUUCAGUUUAUUUGCAAAAGCCCUAAUAGCUCUUAAUUUAUUUGCUAGAUCGAUUCGCCCACAUAGCAUUGUUUAUUCGAUGAGCAUUGUUUAUUCGAUGACAGACAUUGUUCAAACCUAUUGUAGAUUACGAUUAUGUAAAUUCAAUUAAGACUUUGUAAUUUACUUUUCGAUUAUAUUUUUAAUUCCAUUUUCUCCUCCUACCAUUUAUUCAUCUUGUAUGUAAUUUUAUAAUUAUAUUGUUGUUUUAUGGUAGAAAUGGGGCAUGUCAUGAAAAUUACGAACAAGGAGUUUUACAAGAUAUUAUAGUGGGUAAAUCAUUGAAUAUAUCCAUGCUACAAGAUUCACAGACAAUGAGUUCUUCAAAGUACUGCAUUGAAAUAUGAAAGACAUGGAAUAGUGUCUAGUUUUUUCCUCCUCUGUAUUAUUCUGCAAAUAUAUGAACAUAACUAUUCUGUAUCCUUUUUUUUUUUUCCUGAUUGCAGGAGAAGCUUUAUAAUUUGACAUUGAGGAAUUAGAUAGAAAGUAGAUGGGGUUAAAGUGAUGGCUAAUAACGUACUCGCCUAUAUUGAGGUCAAGGAUGUGAAGAUGCAAUUCUUGCUGUAGAUAUGAAUUCUUCCUUGAAUUGCAACCUUUUUUUGUUUUUCAUUUUGUUAAGACAUUGUAUACAUCUAUUUUUUUAGUCAACAUAGUAUGAAUACUGAAUAAUGGAAGAUAGGUCUUGUAUUGUUUCAU